UAGCGUAUUACUCCUCUCCUCACUGCCGCAAGGCUUUGAGUGCUUGAGUCCCUUAACCCUUUGUGAACUUUACAUUUUUUGCUUCGGCAGCGCGCUCCCCUCGCGGGGGGUUGGUAAGGCUGCCGAUAGCCCAUUUAAACCAUUUUAUUUUAAUCAUGAAGUCUGAUUACUGUUAAAUUUAAACAAGUUAAAACUUUCAGCAACGGAUCUCUUGGUUCUCGCAUCGAUGAAGAACGCAGCGAAACGCGAUAGGUAAUGUGAAUUGCAGAAUUCCGUGAAUCAUCGAAUCUUUGAACGCACAUUGCGCCUUCUGGUAUUCCGGUAGGCAUGUCUGUUUGAGCGUCAGCAAACACCCUCAGCUUGAGUAUUUUAUUAUGCGAAGAGUUGGUCUUGGGCAGCGGAUGCCGGUGGUGAUUUCUCCACCUGCGCCCUCCCUAAACUUGCUGCACGACCGCAAGCCCCUUCUAGCCAGGUCAAUGGAGUGGUGUUACAAUCUUCCAAAAAGCCUGCUGGUAACCGCUUCGUGGCGUUAAACCCAGAUGUCUCCCUCAUCGGGGGACUGAAGUUUUGACCUCAGAUCAGACAAGGAUACCCGCUGAACUUAAGCAUAUCAAU
rnacentral:rRNA from 1 species